rnacentral:lncRNA from 1 species
AAAACUCAGAGCACAACUAAUCACUCGAACCUCGCAAUUUGCAAAGGUCCAGUGUGUUACAUAAACUAUACACCACAUUCCAUGAACCAAAUUUCAUAUGCCAAAUCUUAUGAACCAUACCCAAGUUCAUGAACCAAACCAAAUCCUAUGAACCAUGUCCAAAUCUCAUGAAGUCUACCCAAAUCUCAUGAACUCUACCCAAACCUCAUGAACUAAAUCAUCUUCAAAUCCUACACACCAAUACCCAAAUGUCAUGAACCAUGCAUCAAGUUCAUGAACUAAAUCAUACCCAAAGUUCAUCAUGAACCUUUUUUACUCUAGCACAUAUACCUAGAGUAAAAAUCAAAUAUUGGCUACCCCUAAUACAUAUACUUAGGGCUAAGUCAAUCGCCUUAACAAAUAUAACUAAGGAAAAACACUUUCAAAUCGACAGAGUUCUAAAUUAUACACUCAGAAUUCAGUAAAAAACAUACAUCAAGUUCAUUCGAACUCUAAUACAUAUACUUAGAGUUCAUCCGACUAACCCUAACACAUAUACUUAGAGCUCUAAUACAUAUACUUAGGACCUAGCCAAUCCCAAAUCCAACUGAAUCCUAAUAUAUAUACU